GGGUUGUGAGGUUAAGCGACUAAGCGUACACGGUGGAUGCCCUGGCAGUCAGAGGCGAUGAAGGACGUGCUAAUCUGCGAUAAGCGUCGGUAAGGUGAUAUGAACCGUUAUAACCGGCGAUUUCCGAAUGGGGAAACCCAGUGUGAUUCGUCACACUAUCAUUAACUGAAUCCAUAGGUUAAUGAGGCGAACCGGGGGAACUGAAACAUCUAAGUACCCCGAGGAAAAGAAAUCAACCGAGAUUCCCCCAGUAGCGGCGAGCGAACGGGGAGCAGCCCAGAGCCUGAAUCAGUGUGUGUGUUAGUGGAAGCGUCUGGAAAGGCGCGCGAUACAGGGUGACAGCCCCGUACACAAAAAUGCACAUACUGUGAGCUCGAUGAGUAGGGCGGGACACGUGGUAUCCUGUCUGAAUAUGGGGGGACCAUCCUCCAAGGCUAAAUACUCCUGACUGACCGAUAGUGAACCAGUACCGUGAGGGAAAGGCGAAAAGAACCCCGGCGAGGGGAGUGAAAAAGAACCUGAAACCGUGUACGUACAAGCAGUGGGAGCACGCUUAGGCGUGUGACUGCGUACCUUUUGUAUAAUGGGUCAGCGACUUAUAUUCUGUAGCAAGGUUAACCGAAUAGGGGAGCCGAAGGGAAACCGAGUCUUAACUGGGCGUUAAGUUGCAGGGUAUAGACCCGAAACCCGGUGAUCUAGCCAUGGGCAGGUUGAAGGUUGGGUAACACUAACUGGAGGACCGAACCGACUAAUGUUGAAAAAUUAGCGGAUGACUUGUGGCUGGGGGUGAAAGGCCAAUCAAACCGGGAGAUAGCUGGUUCUCCCCGAAAGCUAUUUAGGUAGCGCCUCGUGAAUUCAUCUCCGGGGGUAGAGCACUGUUUCGGCAAGGGGGUCAUCCCGACUUACCAACCCGAUGCAAACUGCGAAUACCGGAGAAUGUUAUCACGGGAGACACACGGCGGGUGCUAACGUCCGUCGUGAAGAGGGAAACAACCCAGACCGCCAGCUAAGGUCCCAAAGUCAUGGUUAAGUGGGAAACGAUGUGGGAAGGCCCAGACAGCCAGGAUGUUGGCUUAGAAGCAGCCAUCAUUUAAAGAAAGCGUAAUAGCUCACUGGUCGAGUCGGCCUGCGCGGAAGAUGUAACGGGGCUAAACCAUGCACCGAAGCUGCGGCAGCGACGCUGAUGCGUUGUUGGGUAGGGGAGCGUUCUGUAAGCCUGUGAAGGUGUGCUGUGAGGCAUGCUGGAGGUAUCAGAAGUGCGAAUGCUGACAUAAGUAACGAUAAAGCGGGUGAAAAGCCCGCUCGCCGGAAGACCAAGGGUUCCUGUCCAACGUUAAUCGGGGCAGGGUGAGUCGACCCCUAAGGCGAGGCCGAAAGGCGUAGUCGAUGGGAAACAGGUUAAUAUUCCUGUACUUGGUGUUACUGCGAAGGGGGGACGGAGAAGGCUAUGUUGGCCGGGCGACGGUUGUCCCGGUUUAAGCGUGUAGGCUGGUUUUCCAGGCAAAUCCGGAAAAUCAAGGCUGAGGCGUGAUGACGAGGCACUACGGUGCUGAAGCAACAAAUGCCCUGCUUCCAGGAAAAGCCUCUAAGCAUCAGGUAACAUCAAAUCGUACCCCAAACCGACACAGGUGGUCAGGUAGAGAAUACCAAGGCGCUUGAGAGAACUCGGGUGAAGGAACUAGGCAAAAUGGUGCCGUAACUUCGGGAGAAGGCACGCUGAUAUGUAGGUGAAGCCACUCGCGCGUGGAGCUGAAAUCAGUCGAAGAUACCAGCUGGCUGCAACUGUUUAUUAAAAACACAGCACUGUGCAAACACGAAAGUGGACGUAUACGGUGUGACGCCUGCCCGGUGCCGGAAGGUUAAUUGAUGGGGUCAGCGCAAGCGAAGCUCUUGAUCGAAGCCCCGGUAAACGGCGGCCGUAACUAUAACGGUCCUAAGGUAGCGAAAUUCCUUGUCGGGUAAGUUCCGACCUGCACGAAUGGCGUAAUGAUGGCCAGGCUGUCUCCACCCGAGACUCAGUGAAAUUGAACUCGCUGUGAAGAUGCAGUGUACCCGCGGCAAGACGGAAAGACCCCGUGAACCUUUACUAUAGCUUGACACUGAACAUUGAGCCUUGAUGUGUAGGAUAGGUGGGAGGCUUUGAAGUGUGGACGCCAGUCUGCAUGGAGCCGACCUUGAAAUACCACCCUUUAAUGUUUGAUGUUCUAACGUUGACCCGUGAUCCGGGUUGCGGACAGUGUCUGGUGGGUAGUUUGACUGGGGCGGUCUCCUCCUAAAGAGUAACGGAGGAGCACGAAGGUUGGCUAAUCCUGGUCGGACAUCAGGAGGUUAGUGCAAUGGCAUAAGCCAGCUUGACUGCGAGCGUGACGGCGCGAGCAGGUGCGAAAGCAGGUCAUAGUGAUCCGGUGGUUCUGAAUGGAAGGGCCAUCGCUCAACGGAUAAAAGGUACUCCGGGGAUAACAGGCUGAUACCGCCCAAGAGUUCAUAUCGACGGCGGUGUUUGGCACCUCGAUGUCGGCUCAUCACAUCCUGGGGCUGAAGUAGGUCCCAAGGGUAUGGCUGUUCGCCAUUUAAAGUGGUACGCGAGCUGGGUUUAGAACGUCGUGAGACAGUUCGGUCCCUAUCUGCCGUGGGCGCUGGAGAACUGAGGGGGGCUGCUCCUAGUACGAGAGGACCGGAGUGGACGCAUCACUGGUGUUCGGGUUGUCAUGCCAAUGGCACUGCCCGGUAGCUAAAUGCGGAAGAGAUAAGUGCUGAAAGCAUCUAAGCACGAAACUUGCCCCGAGAUGAGUUCUCCCUGACUCCUUGAGAGUCCUGAAGGAACGUUGAAGACGACGACGUUGAUAGGCCGGGUGUGUAAGCGCAGCGAUGCGUUGAGCUAACCGGUACUAAUGAACCGUGAGGCUUAACCUUACAACGCCGAAGCUGUU
rnacentral:rRNA from 1 species